rnacentral:rRNA from 1 species
AACGAACGCUGGCGGCAUGCCUAACACAUGCAAGUCGAACGGUGACGCGGCGUACUGUUGGGCGGGUGUGGGUGAGGGGCGAGCGGGUGAGUAACACGUGGGUAACCUGCACCCUUCUUCGGGAUAACCGCGGGAAAGUUUGGCUAAUACGGGAUAUUCUGGCUCUGUCGCAGCAUGGGUUUGGUUAAGUUGUUGGUGCGGUAGGGGCUGAGCUGGCGGACGAUCAGGGUGUUGGUGGGGUGGUGGCCUAGCAAGGCGGUGACGGGGAGCCGGCCUGGGAGGGUGGGCGGUCACGGAGGGAAGGAGACACGGCCAAGCCGGCGACGGGAGGCAGCAGUGAGGAAUAGGGAACAAUGGGCGGAAGGAUGAUGCAGCGACGCCGCGGGGGGGAUGGAGGCCUGCGGGUUGUGAACGUCUGUCGUGAGUGAAGAAGGCCUGCCUAGUUUGUGGGUGGGUUGACGGUAGCUGGAGAAGAAGCGCCGGCUAACUACGUG